rnacentral:rRNA from 1 species
AAAAGCUCGUAGUUGCAUUUCCGAGGCAAGGGAUUAGUCCGACCUUUGGUGGGUAUUUAAUCCUCUUGCCUCGUCCUUGAGUGGUGCUUCUUGGUAUUAAGUUAUCGAGGAGAUAGCCGCUCAUCGUUUACUGUGAGAAAAUUAGAGUGUUCAAAGCAGGCUUAUGCCGUUGAAUAUAUUAGCAUGGAAUAAUAAGAUAGGACCUCGGUACUAUUUUGUUGGUUUGAGAACCAAGGUAAUGAUGAAUAGGGACAGUUGGGGGUAUUCGUAUUCAGUUGUCAGAGGUGAAAUUCUUAGAUUUACGGAAGACGAACUACUGCGAAAGCAUUUACCAAGGAUGUUUUCAUUAAUCAAGAACGAAAGUAUGGGGAUCGAAGAUGAUUAGAUACCAUCGUAGUCUAUACCAUAAACUAUGCCGACUCAGGAUUGUCAGGUGUCUUUUGACCUUGGCAGCACUGUGUGAAAAAUCAAAGUCUUUGGGUUCCGGGGGGAGUAUGGUCGCAAGGCUGAAACUUAAAGAAAUGGACGG